rnacentral:rRNA from 1 species
GACGAACGCUGGCGGCGUGCUUAACACAUGCAAGUCGAACGGAAAGGCCCUGCUUUUGUGGGGUGCUCGAGUGGCGAACGGGUGAGUAACACGUGAGUAACCUGCCCUUGACUUUGGGAUAACUUCAGGAAACUGGGGCUAAUACCGGAUAGGAGCUCCUGCUGCAUGGUGGGGGUUGGAAAGUUUCGGCGGUUGGGGAUGGACUCGCGGCUUAUCAGCUUGUUGGUGGGGUAGUGGCUUACCAAGGCUUUGACGGGUAGCCGGCCUGAGAGGGUGACCGGCCACAUUGGGACUGAGAUACGGACCAGACUCCUACGGGAGGCAGCAGGGGGGAAUAUUGCACAAUGGGCGGAAGCCUGAUGCAGCAACGCCGCGUGCGGGAUGACGGCCUUCGGGUUGUAAACCGCUUUCGCAUGGGACGAAGCGUGAGUGACGGUAAUGGGUAAAGAAGCACCGGCUAACUACGUG